UACAGAGGUCCCAAGCGUUGUUCGGAUUCACUGGGCGUAAAGGGUGCGUAGGCGGUCGGGUAAGUCUGACGUGAAAUCUUCAAGCUUAACUUGGAAACUGCGUCGGAUACUAUUCGGCUGGAGGAAUGGAGGGGAGACUGGAAUACUUGGUGUAGCAGUGAAAUGCGUAGAUAUCAAGUGGAACACCAGUGGCGAAGGCGAGUCUCUGGACAUUUCCUGACGUUGAGGCACGAAAGCCAGGGGAGCAAACGGG
rnacentral:rRNA from 1 species